ACACGACUACAUUAGAUACCCGCGUAGUCCUAGCCGUAAACGAUACUCGCUAGGUGUCGGCCACGGUGCGACCGUUGUCGGUGCCGUAGGGAAGCCGUGAAGCGAGCCACCUGGGAAGUACGGCCGCAAGGCUGAAACUUAAAGGAAUUGGCGGGGGAGCAUAACAACGGGUGGAGCUUGCGGUUUAAUUGGAUUCAACGCCGGAAAUCUUACCGGGACCGACAGCAACAUGAAGGCCAAGCUGAAGACUUUGCCGGAUUAGCUG
rnacentral:rRNA from 1 species